ACGUCUGACCAAUCACAACACGCCUCUCAGAGCUCCGGACCGGAAGUGAUGGCCUACCGUGGCUCGGCGGUAGCUAGCUCGGCGGUAGCUAGCUCGGCAGUAGCUAGCUCGGCAGUAGCUAGCUGCAGUAGCUAGCUCGGCCCCACGCAUCUCCGGUGUUCCCGAAGUUCUGCCUUCAUUUCGCGGACCUUAUACUCGGUGAAGCUCAUGUCCAGCUCGGUCUUCCCGGGAAUUCGUGUGAGGAACGGCUGAAAUAAAGCAGCCGGUGGAGGUAUUGACCUGAGGAGCCUCUCUACUGCCGACAGUUACAAAGCUGAGCCUGAAUGAAUAACGACAUAUUGAUCAGAACUGAAGUUUGUUCAUCAGCCUGACGGACCUGAAGUCACGCAGCGUUUUCUGGCUUCGGACCGCAGGACGUUUUCCUGGAGUGAUGAACAGUGAUGCAGCCAACCAGGCGCUAAUGCAGCUUUUCCCAUCAGUUAAUGACUUCAGGUCUGAUGUCUGCAUCACUGCUUCACUUCCUGUUUCACCAAAACCUGAGAAACUCUCCUCUGGAGUUUUUUAAACUGUAAUUCUAUCCAAGUUCUCCUUAAAAGAUGUGUUAUUCUCCAGGACCGGAUCAGAACCUGGCUGCUUGGUGA